GGAGAGAUGUCCGAGUGGCUUAAGGAGCACGAUUGGAAAUCGUGUGUGGGCAACACCCACCGGGGGUUCGAAUCCCCCUCUCUCCGCCA
rnacentral:tRNA from 1 species